rnacentral:sRNA from 1 species
GCUUUUCCAGAACUACAAGUAAAGGCCACAGCCAGAUGCCAGAGUAUAUAUGCAUAUUUGAACAGUCACCUGGAUCUGAUUAAGAAGGCUCAGCCUGUGGGUUUCCUUACUGUUGAUUUACAUGUUUGGCCAGAUUUCCAUGGCAACCGCUCUCCCUUAGCAGAUCUGACACUAAAGGGCAUGGUCACCGGAUUGAAACUGUCUCAGGACCUCGAUGAUCUUGCCAUUCUCUACCUGGCCACAGUUCAAGCCAUUGCUUUGGGGACUCGCUUCAUUAUAGAAGCCAUGGAGGCAGCAGGGCACUCAAUCAGUACUCUUUUCCUAUGUGGAGGCCUCAGCAAGAAUCCCCUUUUUGUGCAAAUGCAUGCAGACAUUACUGGAAGCAAUGGCAAAAAUGAGCAAAGUUGGGAAAGUUGUGUUCCCGAGACUACAGGAUAAAAAAUACUAUGAUAAGAAAUACCAAGUAUUCCUGAAGCUGGUUGAACACCAGAAGGAGUAUUUGGCGAUCAUGAAUGAUGACUGAACAGGGCUUGCAGUUGCUGAUGCCAGAAGCUUCUGUGCCAUUGCAUUAAAGACUUCUGUCAUUUGAUCCAUGUUCAAGACCCUUGAGGUAUUGUUUCAUCAUUUCUGUAUUGUCUUUCAAUAAAGAAGACAAACAUGUGCAACCAGAA